AGUCGAGCGGACAGAAUGGGAGCUUGCUCCCUGAUGUUAGCGGCGGACGGGUGAGUAACACGUGGGUAACCUGCCUGUAAGACUGGGAUAACUCCGGGAAACCGGGGCUAAUACCGGAUGCUUGUUUGAACCGCAUGGUUCAGACAUAAAAGGUGGCUUCGGCUACCACUUACAGAUGGACCCGCGGCGCAUUAGCUAGUUGGUGAGGUAACGGCUCACCAAGGCAACGAUGCGUAGCCGACCUGAGAGGGUGAUCGGCCACACUGGGACUGAGACACGGCCCAGACUCCUACGGGAGGCAGCAGUAGGGAAUCUUCCGCAAUGGACGAAAGUCUGACGGAGCAACGCCGCGUGAGUGAUGAAGGUUUUCGGAUCGUAAAGCUCUGUUGUUAGGGAAGAACAAGUGCCGUUCAAAUAGGGCGGCACCUUGACGGUACCUAACCAGAAAGCCACGGCUAACUACGUGCCAGCAGCCGCGGUAAUACGUAGGUGGCAAGCGUUGUCCGGAAUUAUUGGGCGUAAAGGGCUCGCAGGCGGUUUCUUAAGUCUGAUGUGAAAGCCCCCGGCUCAACCGGGGAGGGUCAUUGGAAACUGGGGAACUUGAGUGCAGAAGAGGAGAGUGGAAUUCCACGUGUAGCGGUGAAAUGCGUAGAGAUGUGGAGGAACACCAGUGGCGAAGGCGACUCUCUGGUCUGUAACUGACGCUGAGGAGCGAAAGCGUGGGGAGCGAACAGGAUUAGAUACCCUGGUAGUCCACGCCGUAAACGAUGAGUGCUAAGUGUUAGGGGGUUUCCGCCCCUUAGUGCUGCAGCUAACGCAUUAAGCACUCCGCCUGGGGAGUACGGUCGCAAGACUGAAACUCAAAGGAAUUGACGGGGGCCCGCACAAGCGGUGGAGCAUGUGGUUUAAUUCGAAGCAACGCGAAGAACCUUACCAGGUCUUGACAUCCUCUGACAAUCCUAGAGAUAGGACGUCCCCUUCGGGGGCAGAGUGACAGGUGGUGCAUGGUUGUCGUCAGCUCGUGUCGGGAGAUGUUGGGUUAAGUCCCGCACGAGCGCAACCCUUGAUCUUAGUUGCAGCAUU
rnacentral:rRNA from 1 species